GUCAUUUGUUAACCCCUUAACAGGAUAGAACUGAAUGGUUCAGUGGUUAAGCUUGUUUGUUUUAAUUUUGUAGAUGCUGGACCAAAAGAAAUACGAUGGACGAGAACGAUAAUUCUACUGGACGAGUGGGUUUGAAAAAUUGAGCAUGCCUCGUCCAGAACUGUCAACAAUAUAAGCUAUUGGCCAUUCUUUCUCAAAUUUAAACGCAAAAUAUAAAUAAAAUUAUAUUUAUAUAUGUUUAUUGAAGCUUGGGGCCAUAAAAUCAUAUUUAUUAUAUUCAAGAUUAGUAAAAUAAUAUUAAAAUAAUUUAUAUUUUGUAAUUGUGUAACUUUUAUAUUAAUCAAUUAUAAAUUUUAUUAUAUUUAUAAAUACAUUAUUUG
rnacentral:lncRNA from 1 species